CCCACUUUUCUUAAAUUUCCACUGCAUGUUCGAUUUCAACGCGAAGCCUGCAUGCACCCCGACUCGUUCCACAACUUUGAACCCGGCGACAAGCGCGUUUUUGCCGCCCCAUCACGAGCAACUACCGGCUCGGUCUGCGGUUGGUUGUGCAUACAGAAAAGGAAGCCUCAUCGGGGCAGCCUUGCUGUGGGGAGCCCUUCGGAACGGUGGACUGCUUUGCCAGAUUUGCGCGCCUCACCUGCAUGCGAGAGUAUUUGUUUUUGAAGAGAUCGAUAGCAUGACGAGAUAGCGUCAAAACAUUCAAAGGCUGAUUAAGGAGGACAAAUGUAGGCUAUUUGAACAUCGUGCAUGAGCAUGUGGCGCACCAACAGACUGCACAUUUUUCAAAAUUUCAUUGCAACUGUCAAGGGAUGGUGAAAGUUAACUUUAGCACCCUUUUCCGGUAAUUAAUAAGUGACGCAUUAUUAAUUAAUAAAGGAUAUCAAUCUUUCAGUAGCGGCCAGAUUAGUUUGCGUUUAAAACAAUGAUUUAUUCAAUUUUAAUUAGUGAAUGAACGAUAAAAGAACACAUUGUUUAUGUUUGCAUUUGUAAAAAAAUAUUUUAAAUAAUUAAAGCAAUGCAAUUACGCCUCCAACUUGAACAAAACAACACGUAAUAUUGUCUAUUUAAUUGAAUUUGCAACUGUCUGGUUUGUGACUUUUUUAGUUUUUCUAUGCUGAAAUUAACAAGUUAAACGCUAUUGUGUGUGCGUGUGUUAGGAUUUAUUGUAUGUGUUGUGGUCACAUCUAAGAUGAUGUAUUGACUCUCCAACUCAGUAUAGGGUUUAAUAUAGCUGAAAGACAACAAGCAAUAGAGGAGACGUUAAGGUCAAGAGUGCACUCCUCUCCAAACAUCCUCAUUUAAAAGUCACUACAAAAAGCACAUUUAACACUUUUUACAGGACUCGACUUCCAGAUCACAUUUAUUGCAUAUUACGUACAUUCACCUUUAGGGUUUUAAAAAUGCAAUCCACAAUGCUCAAAGAUUGAUGGACAACAAUUUGUACUUCUGUGUUAAUUUAGACACACAAACACACACACUCACACUCACCCCAACGAGUCUGUGUGUAGAACCAUUAGGGCCAUAUGCAGCUGACCCCCGCCACUGCAUACCAGCUGCCAGCGUAUCAAAUACUUUGAAUAUGAUUGGAAGUCAUUUAGAGCAUCAAGUAGUUCAAAGACUCCCACAAUGUUCACUUGUUGCAGCGCAUUACUAGACGUCAUUUUCCCACGUUUAAUUUUUUAACGACUGCGUGAUUUGGACUGCCAUUUAAUUAACCAAACUUAAUUUUAAUUCAUAAAUGCCACGUUGAUUUCUAAUGAUGCGAACAGCGGAUUUAUUUGAAACUUAGAAAUUUAAUAUUUUGACUGAGUUUCAUAAUAGUUAUGCAUUAUAAGUAUCGAUGAUAUUUAAAUAUGCAAACAGUCCUUUUAAAUACACAGCAAGGAUAACUUAGUGGAAGCUUAAUAAAAUUAAACGAAUUGCACAAUUAAGAAAAAAUACAAAUCAGGAAGGUUGCUUAUCUUAAAAUAAAUACAAAUAUCCAAUCGCUCUGAAUACAAACUGACCACUGGUCAGAAAUAGUGCAGUGCGGACAUUUAACACCAGAUGCAGCAUUUACCAGGCAUCAACGACACCGAGGCUAUACCAAUGAGAAGUGCAACUAUAUGUAAUAGCCUUGUUAAACUCUAAAUAUAAAUAAAUGAUAGAUGAAUCAUAGCAAAGUUUUAAUCUAACGACAUGAAGCGACUUGUCUCAUAGCGUGAAGUCCGUUUUAACGCAUCUCUGUAAUAUAUCACAAGUAGAACGACUCUAAUUGAAGACAAUAAUAACAACGCCUCUCUCCAUUAGGGCUGAGGUUGGCUAUAAGUUAGUGGGACAGUCCUUAUACGCCGAGGCCAAUGGCUUUAUUGCUCACUAACCCUCGUUUCUUACAGGCUCGCGUGCUAAUUACUUCCCAGACAAGAUGACCACGUCCAUUAGUGCGCACGUCACUAUGGGUAGUGCAAACACCGCACAGAAAAAGCAGAAUUGACGGAGACAUACAAUGACAUGUAAACAUUUUAGUAGCUUUUUAAUCAUAAACAAACAAACCAAAAAAUAAAUAAAAAUAUUAUUUGAUUGGAUUCAUUAAAAUGGAGUACUACAAAGCAGAGAGAAAUUUCAUUAAAUAACUUUGAAUAAAUUUACAUUUGAAGCAUUUAAAAAAAAAAGCAAGUGUGAGUGUGAAUGGUGUGAAGGCAUCUCGCCCUUCAAGUAAUUUAUUUUAAGGGAAACAGGAGGGCAAAGGUGGAAUUCUUAAGAAAUUCAACAAGGAUAAGGGAGCUUUAGGAAUUCUGCACGCAGAUUACCUUACAUCCCAUCCACACAUUAGCCGACAACACCCAGUAGAAAUAUAGCUCAGGAAAAAAAAGGGUCAGAUUAGCCCCAUGCGUGCACACACAGGAGUAGUGCAUCACAAUUUCAAGACAAAUUGGAAUAUUGGGAAUCGUCAAGAAGUGGGGAGGGAGGGAAGCAGAGGGGCAGUACUAGAGGGAGAACACUUAAAAAGACAAAUAAAUACAUCCUCCAGACAUUUAAAGGAAGAAAUGUUAUGGGAGUGAAUGACAACCUUAGAGAUCCACCAGAAUAAGUGUUUGUGUUUAACAAUGGGAUCACGCUUUGCUACCAAGCUUUGUUUUUGCCUUGCUGUGGAAAUUUUUGCUUACUAACUACAUCAAGAGUCCCCCCCCCAACAUUUACCCAGCAAAACCAACACGCAGCAGGAGCUUAAUUAGAAAUGUAGUGUAGCUCAACCAUGAGUGUGAUGGAGUUCAGACUGAUGACAAGUCUCGUUCACGGCUAGAGAAAUUGAUUUAAAAAAAUUUUUUUUAAACCACAGUAGGCGAUUACUAAUAAAGCAAUUGCGUAUGUAAAUAUACAUGCAUGUGACACAAAUUCGUAUACAUCCACUGGCCGAUAUAUUAGUGCAAUUGCACAGUCUAAUGAAGCAUCAACAAUAACAAUUAUGUAUUUACAAACAUAAUCAGGAGGGUUUUGAUUGGUUUUUAAUAUUCACAUCCUCCCAAAAUGUUAUAAACAGCAACUCUAAUGCAGACUACAUCCUCAAUGAUGAACAAAAGUAGUAUUAAUUUAUGUCAAGUGUUACAUUAUUGUCAUUCUAGUGUAAAUAACACAGUUUGGAUUGUGCAAGUGUACCUUAUGAAGCAAGUUGUGUGUAAAGUUUUAAUUUCCUGCUCAUCACCAAUUCAGUUGACCAGAUUAGCAUUUAAACAAAGAGAUGACUCUCCUCCCUCUACUGUCAUACAAGAUGACAAAGGCCUCCAGGGUGAUUUUAUAUUUGCCUCGGAAAGGUGUGCGAGGACACGUGUGUAAAAGACAGUGACGUGAAGGUGGUCCGUCUGUGUUUAGAGUCCAAGGCUGGCAGAUUGUGACCUUAUCAAUGUGAAAUUCUUAUAACAAAUUAUUCAGCGCACCUGUUUGAAGUGUCUGGCCAAAGAAUAACAACGAUGUAAGACUUAAAAUGCAAAAAUCUCUCAUAAAAGUGGGCUUGACCAGGUAGGACGCUGUUGUUUGAACAGACAUUUCAUCAAUAAACAUGUCUGUUUUGCAGGGUGUAUUGAAGAGAGGCACUCUGUAUUUCACAGCGGUGAGCAACAUGGCGGCCCAGCGUUCUGAAGCACGGCGGGAUGUGUCAGUGUGGUGCAAGGACUGACAUGGGGGCGAGAUGCACAAUUUGUGGCUACGCGCUGUGAGAUAGUGGGUUUGUAUUGAAGGAACAAGCAGACAUCAAAUUUCGGCAAAAAAAUAGGGCUCGCUUUUGACGGACUUUGUAAAAAAGAUAGUUUUUAUCUUGAUCCCAACAUCCAGACUGCUAUUUGAUGAGCAUACUAUUUAAAUGAAUCAAUUUUGUAUUCUCUAGGAGAAUAUUUGAGCCACUUGGGUCGAAAAUGGAACAUUUAAGAUGAAUGACUAUUCUUAUGGUGCUUUUGAUAAACUUUCUAAAAAAUGCAAAAAUAUUUGAAAUCUGAUUACAAUUGGCGAAGUAAUCCCAUUUUUUCCCUGAGAAAUUUGAGGAGUCUCAAGAUAAUAGAAAAAGUUGGCCAAAGAAGUCAAGGAGGAUGUUUGCCUUUCAAAUGUCUUUAGAAACCGCAAUUCAUUUAAAUAAACACACCUCAGAUCCUCAUUUUGAUAAUUAUGGAAAAUUGGCGACACUAUUGAUUGAUUGAUUGAUUGAUUGAUUAAUUUAUUUCGAGCAGUAAUAACAAAAACAGCAAGAAGAGGGAAAAACAAAUAACAAUAGUACCAGUAAUGUUGAUUUUAACAAAAAUUAAUAACAAAUACAUACAGUACAUACGUAGCUCGAAAAGGAGUGGGAAGAAGCCGAGCUUUUUUUGUGAAGCAACCUUUUUUUUUUAUCUUGUUAGCCUGAGUAUUGCAUCCUGUAGCUGAUAUUUGAAAUAUAUUAAAAGCGGGCCAUUUUGGGGUAUUUUUCAAAUGUUUUUUCCAUGUUCAUGAUUUGUUAGCUAACUAAAGCACAUACAAACACAACUUCAAUAUGCAAACCUUGAAGUGAAAGCUUCUGAAGUGAGUGUUUAUUCAAAAAGCAUUGAUUUUUUUUUUUUUUUUUUUAAUAAGUUGGAUAAAAUGCAAACGUUGCCUCCAGAGGGCAUCGUAUCUCAUUAUGAUAGUGUGUGAAAGUGUCAGGUUUCGGUGGAAUGGCUCACAAAUAGCAUCUUUUGCAAUCCCACCCUAAUAUUUCGUGCAGCCUAAUUUGUAUUACCACACAGAACAUGGAUGGAUAUGAAGGACUCAAGGCUGAAUUAUGUAUGAGAUCGAUGACGGCGAAAUAUUCUCACAGGCGUGGAUGUUUAUGUUUCAUUGACUAUCUCUGGCUUUCUCUAUUACUCUAUGUCGUCAGCUACCCUCAGAUGUUCCCGGUGACCUAUGACCUCAGACUUGGGGUCAAGCCCUGACAAAUGAGAUGGCAGAGUUCUGACCAGAACUGCAAACAUUCCACAACAAUCUCGUGUCCUCCUCCACUCGCCUCAUAUCCGUGAUGUGUCACCGGGUGCUUGACUCCCCCCUUCUACACGGCUCGGGCAGAAUGCCAGCGUCUGCCGUUUCCCACCUUUUCCUCCAAGACUCGCAGCUGUAAUAGACGGUAAUGGCUCAAGACAAAUCAACCCAUUUCUUGUAAAAAUAGCGGCGAAUAACCCCCCUACCAACCCGCCUGCACUCUCCUCACGCAUGUGUCAGGGGUGGCAGUAUCGAGGGGUUCCCUUUUCCCCCAAUGUGGCUGUGACUGCAGACUGCUGACUGAAACAGAGGAGACCACCUGACACUCCAGCCAAGCCAUAAGUCUGUCGUACUUAUGCAUCCCUCUCAGGUCUCACAAUGGAUGGGUAAUGACAGCCCUGUCUGAAAGGGGCGGGGGUCGGCCCAUUCGAGCCUGUAAUGAAAGCGGUUACUGCUGUUCCCCACACACCUGCAGGAAAAGCUAACUGUUAACCACCGUGAUCUAUGGUAUGGCCUUAGCGCAGGAGGUGGAAUACGGUGGCUGGGGAGUGUCAAGCAAUUUGCAAAUACCAAACGCUUUACUAAAGAAAAACAUGAAUGCCAAUAGCCACAACAUGAACGCAAACAGCUGGAACACAAAUGCAAAAUGACCACAACGGAAGUCUAGACUUACAACGGAGGUACACUUUAGAUAUACUUUGGUAGGUAGAGAUCGUUGCAUGACGUGCGUGCUUGCAACCAAAGUGUACACAGAAGUAAUGCUCCCUUUUCGUGUUCUGGGAAAGAUGAUGCUUACCAUUUGCUAAUUGGUAAUUAUGAGUAUGUCUUGUUCAUGUGCUUUUGUAGUUGCAGCAAAAAAAAACAAAAAAACAACAACAACCCAAAAAACACAGCAGACCCGGACUUCAUUUAGGUUUGUUGCAUUGGCAAAACUUUUUUAAUACUGUACAUCUACUACAACAAGAAGAAAUUGCAUCAAAAUGCAAACGGUAAGUUUUUGCAACUUAACAUGUGAGCAAACACUAAAACCUCUAAAAAAAAAAGGGGUUUAUAAAUGUGUAUACUAUGUUAUUGUGCUGACAUAAAAAAUGUGCAAAUUGACGAUACAUCUUGUUAAAAUUCUUAGUUUCCUACCAUUCACAACUUCUUGUUCGCACUCUGCCAUUUUGGAAAUUAAAAAGUCUGCCUAUCUCGGAAUCUUGGGUAUCAUAAUAAAAUCCCAGUUCACCAGUAGAAAAUAAUACUUGAGGGGGCCAACGUUAGCGGCUAACGUCAUAUGAUUAUCUGUACUAGAUGAAAAUGUUAGCGGCUAACAUCAUACAAAGAUCUCUCUUAGAUGACUACUUCUGAAAAUGCAGUGGCAAAGAUGGUCACAAAGUUAUAUCUACCAAAGUGUAUGUACUGUUGCAACUUGCAUGUCUACUUUGAUUGUAAGUCUACACUUCGGUUUUGGUCAUUUUGCAUUUGUGUUAAAGCUAUCUGGUCUUUUGCGAAGCUUUUUGAAUUUGCUAAUUGCCUGACACUUCCUGCCCAUAGUAUUUGAAAUGUUGCCUUGGUUCUAAUAAAUAAUGGCACCUUUGUGCAAAAAAUGAGUUGAUUUCUGCUUUUUUAAGGAGCAUUCUUGCUUUUAAAGCUUUCAGCAUAGCAAGCUUGCAACCCAGCUUUCCUGACAUCUGCUGAUUUAACGCAGCCAUAAGAUGCUUCCACAUCUUUACUAGCCUGUCACUACUUUGAACGAUGGGAAACCCAAACUGCCGGUAACAUUAAGCACACCACUACAGGCUAACUGUCCUCAAAUGCUUUCCAAUCCCAAAGAGAUUUAUGAGCGAGACCAGAUCCAUUAAUCCAUUGUCGAUUUGCUGUGGCUGCCCUGCGGGGCAUUUGGGGGAUCAGAUAUCAUAGCGGCCCACUGUAAAGCAAGGGUACAUUGAAACACAAUGUUAAAAUGUAUCCACCAGUGUGGAUUUCUAUGCUUGUUUUGAUUUUAUAUCCGAAACUGCCAAAUCAAAAACUUAUAUAUGACACCCGCUGGUCAUUGGAAGACAAGUUAUGAUCAAAAUGAGAAAAUAGUCAGAAAGUGCGUAAUGUCCAUGUCCACGUGAGAUUGACUGCACAUCAACACACUUGCCUAAUUUAACCUAAUUUACGACAUAGUCAGAUAAUACUACUGAGCAUGUUUGUAGUGAAGCCACAGACCUCUGCGAUAAUGACCGCUGCUUCAGGACAAUCUCAGCAGCUCCUUGCAAUCAAUGAAGCAGUGUCUACAAAGCUUUGGGCCGUGUGU